rnacentral:rRNA from 1 species
GACGAACGCUGGCGGCGUGCUUAACACAUGCAAGUCGAACGGAAAGGCCCUGCUUUUGUGGGGUGCUCGAGUGGCGAACGGGUGAGUAACACGUGAGUAACCUGCCCUUGACAUUGGGAUAACUUCAGGAGACUGGGGCUAAUACCGGAUAGGAGCUCCUGCUGCAUGGUGGGGGUUGGAAAGUUUCGGCGGUUGGGGAUGGACUCGCGGCUUAUCCGCUGGUUGGUGGGGUAGUGGCUUACCAAGGCUUUGACGGGUAGCCGGCCUGAGAGGGUGACCGGCCACAUUGGGACUGAGAGACGGCCCAGACUCGUACGGGAGGCAGCAGUGGGGAAUAUGGCACAAUGGGCGGAAGCCUGAUGCAGCAACGCCGCGUGCGGGAUGACGGCCUUCGGGUUGUAAACCGCUUUCGCCUGUGACGAAGCGUGAGUGACGGUAAUGGGUAAAGAAGCACCGGCUAACUACGUG